rnacentral:rRNA from 1 species
AUUGAACGCUGGCGGCAUGCCUUACACAUGCAAGUCGAACGGCAGCGCGGGCUUCGGCCUGGCGGCGAGUGGCGAACGGGUGAGUAAUGCAUCGGAACGUGCCCAGUAGUGGGGGAUAGCCCGGCGAAAGCCGGAUUAAUACCGCAUACGACCUGAGGGUGAAAGCGGGGGACCGAAAGGCCUCGCGCUAUUGGAGCGGCCGAUGUCGGAUUAGCUAGUUGGUGGGGUAAAGGCUUACCAAGGCGACGAUCCGUAGCUGGUCUGAGAGGACGACCAGCCACACUGGGACUGAGACACGGCCCAGACUCCUACGGGAGGCAGCAGUGGGGAAUGUUGGACAAUGGGGGCAACCCUGAUCCAGCCAUGCCGCGUGCGGGAAGAAGGCCUUCGGGUUGUAAACCGCUUUUGUUCGGGAAGAAAUCCUCUGGGCUAAUACCCCGGGGGGAUGACGGUACCGGAAGAAUAAGCACCGGCUAACUACGUG